ACUUUAAUAGUUUAGAAAAAACAUCGGUCUUGUAAACCGAAGCCGGAGUCCACUCCUUAAAGUG
rnacentral:tRNA from 1 species